GACGUAGGAGGCGAGCGUUGUCCGGAGUUACUGGGCGUAAAGCGCGCGCAGGCGGCCCUGCGCGCUGCCGGUGAAAGCUCCCGGCUCACCUGGGAGAGGUUCGGCAGGACAGCAGGGCUGGAGGGCGGUAGAGGGUGGUGGAAUUCCCGGUGUAGUGGUGAAAUGCGUAGAGAUCGGGAGGAACACCCGUAGCGAAGGCGGCCACCUGGGCCGACCCUGACGCUGAGGCGCGAAGGCCAGGGGAGCGAACGGG
rnacentral:rRNA from 1 species